rnacentral:lncRNA from 1 species
GCUGAGAAUCUACGAUGGCCAGUGAGCUGGUAUGAUUCAUACGAAGUUCCAUGUCUCACUUAUCUCUCCAAAUCAUGCAAACUAACUAGAAAGACGAACAGUGUCCCUUGAAAUGCACAAGGCUUCCUCUCUCGAGGGUGAAACACUCACCUAGUGUGUCCUUCAGGUUCUUCACGAGGGAGCCCUUCUUCAGGCUGUUCUUCCGCUCCACGUAGUUGGACGGUACAUAGCCCGUCCUGUUGGCCGCGUUCCUCACCCGCCACCACGUCUUGGAGUCGUCCAGCAACCACAGCCGCUCGUUCUUCUUGAUGUCCAGCUCCUGGUCCUGCUGGGC